GGCUUUGGACAUCAUCAUUUAACUGCUCUCCAGAGCGAGGCAGAAAAUGGCCACAACUGCUGAUGGUCAGUGGAAUCAAAGAGAUAAAUUAUGGCUGAGUCCUGACUCUGAAAUGAAUGGAAAGUUAGUCAAUAGUUCAACUUUGCAUGAUCCUAAAAUAUUACUUCUGAAACUAUCCAUUACAAAUGAUUUUUUUUUUCUUCAUAUACAUGAUCUAUGCAGAGAUUCCGUCUGGGGGCCUGGAGCUGCUGUCGCUAAUCCCCAGCCUGAGCUGAUGGGGUUGCAGUCUCCCUGCUCUGAGGUGGCUUCCUGGCUGCGGGGAGGCCCUGCGGAUUCCUCAGCAUGAGUGAAGCCUUGAAAGCAGCAUGCUGACCCUUGAGCUGGGGAGCCAGGCUGCUCCUGGGACUUUCUGUCAUGGGACUGGGUAGAAGAAUGAGACUGAUUUCUUUUCAGCAAACUGGGACCAGAUGCGAGUUCUCUGUGUAAAAGUCUAAAAGUCCAACCAGCUGCUUUCAGUUUUUGAUAAUGGAUUAUGGUGUUGAGGGUCUGCGACCACUUUGAUGCUUGUGCAUAAGAAAGCAAAAUGUGAGCAUUUGGGCUAACCUCACGAUUUUAACCGCCGUGUGUGUGUGUGUGUGUGUGUGUGUGUGUGUGUGUGUGUGUGUGUGAUUUAGUGACCCCUUGAAGCCUGGCGGAACCAUUCCAUGCAAUCUGGGUGACAGUGAUGCCAUCCACCAAGGCCUGCUCACAGUUUCUAUUCAUCCUGUAAACUCAGCCCAUAGUCUUUGCGGAGGUUCUUCAGCUCUGCACAGAGCGCUCAAUUUCUGAGAGCCUGGGAUCUGGACUGCUGCUCCACUCCUUCACCCUGAGGCUCCUCGGAGCCCACAGCUGUGCAAGAAUUUCACACAUCUAGCGAGAGCAGCUUUUCAAAUAAACCCUCUUUGCCAAAUCUGAUAUAGACACGCCAGGUCCAGGAUUCGAGGAGAGGGCAUGUUCACAGCAACUUCUACACGGAUGUUAUUCAACAAAAUACCUGGGUGUAGUGGCCUAGACAAGCAGACACAGAAAGUUCUCACCAGAAGAGGAACCACUGUCAAUAACUCCGGAGCUGGGGGUGAGAUCCAUUCUAGAAUGUGACGGGCCCCAUAUGUGUGGGUCCUGUGCAGAUGGUUGGUUACAUCUACACUCACCUCAUGCUUUGACAAUCACCCUUCUGUUUACCAACACAGAUGCAUGCACCAACACAGAGAGGUAAAGCAGAAGGCGAUCCGUGACUCAUGGCUGUCGCCUGAAUUUUCACGAAGCGAGCGUCUUUCUGCCCUGUCACCGCAGUGUCCUCUCGGUGGUCUGUGUUGGUGAGAUCACAUGGCGAUCAGAGUUGAAGUCAUACUUGUUC